CCGUCCUACGGGAGGCAGCAGUCGAGAAUCAUUCACAAUGGGGGAAACUCUGAUGCAGCGACGCCGCGUGAGGGAAGACGGUCUUCGGAUUGUAAACCUCUGUCUUUGGGGAAGAAAAUGACGGUACCCAAAGAGGAAGCUCCGGCUAACUACGUGCCAGCAGCCGCGGUAAUACGUAGGGAGCGAGCGUUGUCCGGAAUUACUGGGUGUAAAGGGAGCGUAGGCGGGCGAGAAAGUUGAAUGUUAAAUCUACCGGCUUAACUGGUAGCUGCGUUCAAAACUUCUUGUCUUGAGUGAAGUAGAGG
rnacentral:rRNA from 1 species